rnacentral:lncRNA from 1 species
UGUAGACACAAGUCGCACCAACACUGUUUCCCUUUUGUUUCCACAGGCUAUGCGUAGACUUGCUUCCUGAAAGUGGGAUCAGGAGGUCACUCACUGUAAACAAGGACUGCAAGGCAUAAUUUACCCAACAAUAUCAUUAUAUGCAAACAUUUUCUGCAUUGAUUAUUUCUUUGGACUUGAAACACUUCAUUCUUUUCCUUUUGCAUUUUUUUAAGUCAUUGAGUUUUUUAACCUCUUAGUCAUUAAAUGAUGAAAACAUUUAGAUAAUUUCUGUGCCUUAUUUAUUUAGUAAGCAGCUUACCUCUAAAAUGUGCAAAGUGGCAAGGAGAAUUGCCCAGGCAAAUUGGUAAUGUCCAGGAUCUGCUGACAUUGUAAGAUGCUGCAAAUCUGUCAUGCAGAUGAACUAGCAAUGUGCACCAGGUUACUGGCAUAUCUCUGUUCAAUCAGAGUAAGUGUUGACCUAAUAGCUUCUGUGGGCGGGUGAGUCAGGAAGGACUAAUCAUAAAGAAAGAUCUAUUUCUGAUUGACCUUGAUAUCCAUGAGCUGCACUGAUCACAGAGUAAAGGCACAUUCAGAAAAUGCUGAAAUGCAAUUAUUCAUGCUUUUAUCAAUAAUAGCCUUUUUGCAAAAUAAGUCAAAGUUUUUAAAAUGCAAGUUUGGUUAGUACUUAGUAAUGAAGUGUUGUUAUAUGUGACCAGAUAUAUAACCAGAAUUUAGGAUCUCUUUAAUGCUGGACAUGGUUCACUUAAAAACUAUUAGAAUGGGGCUCAUAUAUUUUAAAAAUAUUGGGGCAGAGAAGUGAGAUUUUCAUGGCUUAUAGAAAUAAUUUUUUGAUAUGAUAACAUCAUAGAUCACAAUUAAGAUCAAAGAAAAUAAAAUACGAGACAGACUAGCUUAAAAAUGAAGUUUUAACUUAUCCUUAUAGAAAUGCUCAUUGUGUGAAACUUUAGGUAUGAUAUAUUGAAAACUGCUAUUAUGAGCAAAACCAAUUUUGAUAUAAGAUCAUGAUGAUUAAAAUUUGCUUAUAUUUUUCUCCACUUAUCAGUACAUAAAGUAAUAUUUAAUUGAAUUCUAACUACUUUUCAAAAGAAAUCUAAAAAUAAAAUGUCUAUAGUAGUCUGUACUUAAAAUGAGUGAAUUCAAAAGGAAAAAAUGGUUUGGAAUAUAUACUUUGGGAAUAGAUACUUUAAAAAAAUCCAUAUCUUAAGCCAGCAAAUUUUAUCUUUCAUUUUUACUUAGUCUUUUCCAAAUACAGUUCUAGGUAUUAAUGUAUAAUAUAUAGGUUGGAGUGAAGUCACCAUUUCCAGAAACAAAUAAGUACUUAGGUCUUCAGUUGAGCCAGUGUCCUGCUUGAUUGAGGGCUAUAUUUCCCUUUAGCACAGGUGUGUGAAAUUCCCAAAUGUGUUUGGUUAUCCAAAGGUACAAUGUGUCAUCUCUGUUUUUUUUUUUUCUUAAAUAAAAUCAGAAACCAUGUUCCCACUUCUGAAGGAAGAUGAUCAGUGAUAAUAUAAAAUUAGGUGAUCCUGAAUUGUGAUUAUAUCUAGUUGUGGCAAAACCAGAAUUAUAAUGCUAUCUCAUUUUCAUAGUGAUACCUGAUUAUAAGGGCAAAAAUUAUCUCUAAAGAGUGAAUGUAAUAGUCUUGCAGAAAAUGAAAGAAUACCUCUGUUCAAUAGAGGGAAUGUGUGCACUGCUCUCUCUCUCUCUCUCUCUUUCUCUCUUUUUUUUUUUAAGGAGAUACCAAAGUUCCAUUUUAUAAGUUGGAUUUUUGUAAAAUCUUGGGUCCAUUUGCGACUAAGAAGACCAGUCUUACUUGUUUCACCUGCACACUCUAGAAAUACUCUCCUAUGCAUUUUGUGAAUAGCAAGUAUACCCUUAAUUCUGUAUUGUCUAUGGAAAUUUUACUUGAAAUUAAAACUAUCUCUGUCAUAUUCUAACCUAUAGGAUGAUUGUAGUAUUACAUAUGAAUUUUAAUAGCAAGUAAAAACCUUAAAUCAUGUAAAUUUGAAAAUAUUUACACAUAUAUUUAAUAAUUGCAAAGUUGCCUUUUUCUGAAGUGUGUCUUUUCUGAGAAAAACUAUUAAACAUAAUUUUAAAAUCCCAUAUUCCAA